CAGGGAUGGAGCUCUCAGGUACUGAUGCUGCUCUCUUGGAUCCUGGUGGCAGAGAAGGUGGCAGGGCAGUCUGGAUCCUGGGGACCUCCUCUGUUAACUGGACGAUUUUGCAUGCCCUACCCUAGAGGCGCCCCGCCCCCACGGACUAUUAGGCACAUCCACCUCCUGAGCCUUGGUGGCCCUGGGGCCACCCCAAACCCCUCCACCUGCAACACUUGGGCCUUUAGCAGAUCCAGAAGCAGGUGUCACUCCCAAGAGUGACAUCAACACUGGCUCUACCAAAACUGCCAAGAAGCAUAAGGACAACUAUUCUGAAAUUUGAAGAGGACUGUGCACGGAGACAGA